GAGCGAUGAUGAAAAGAUUUUUACCACUGACCUUUGUGACUAUGAAGGUUUCUACACUUGACCUGAGCUCA